GCAUUGUGGAUUGCCGUCAUAUAUAAAUAUAUAUAUAUGACGGCAAUCCACAAUGC
rnacentral:miRNA from 1 species